UGGGGAAUCUUGCGCAAUGCGCGAAAGCGUGACGCAGCAACGCCGCGUGGGGGAAGAAGGCCUUCGGGUUGUAAACCCCUUUCAGGAGGGACGAAGGUUCGGCGGUGAACAGCCGACCGAACUGACGGUACCUCCACAAGAAGCCCCGGCUAACUACGUGCCAGCAGCCGCGGUAAUACGUAGGGGGCUAGCGUUGUCCGGAAACAUUGGGCGUAAAGCGCGCGUAGGCGGCCCGGUAAGUCCGUUGUAAAAGUCCAGGGCUCAACCCUGGAAAGCCGAUGGAUACUGCCGGGCUAGAGUCCGGAAGAGGCGAGUGGAAUUCCUGGUGUAGCGGUGGAAUGCGCAGAUAUCAGGAGGAACACCAAUAGCGAAGGCAGCUCGCUGGGACGGCACUGACGCUGAGGCGCGAAAGCGUGGGGAGCGAACAG
rnacentral:rRNA from 1 species